rfam:Pteropus alecto contig84510, whole genome shotgun sequence.
GUCUACGGCCAUGUCACCCUGAACGAGCCCGAUCCCGUCCGAUCUCAGAAGCUAAGCAGGGUCGGGCCUGGUUGGUACUUGGAUAGGAGACCACCUAGGAAGACCAGGUGCUGUAGGCG